rnacentral:rRNA from 1 species
AAACUAUUUUAUUAAUAAAAUUAUAAAUUUUUUUUAAAUUAAUUUUUAAAAUUAUAUAUAAAUAUAUAAAAAUUUUUAUUUAUAAAAUAAUAAUUUUUAAAAAAAUUUUAUUUUAAUAUAAAAAAUUAAAAAAUAAAUAAAUUUAAAUUUAAUAUAUAAUAAAAAAUUAUUAAUAAAAUUUGUGCCAGCAAUUGCGGUUAUACAAAUAAUAAAUAAAAAAUUAUUUUAUAAAAUUAAAUAAAAAAAAUUAUUAUAUUAAAAAAAUUAUUUUUUUAAGUAAAAUUUUAAAAUAAUAAAUAUAAAUAUUUUAAAAUAUUUAUUUAUAUUAAAAAAAAAUUAAUUAAACUAGGAUUAGAUACCCUAUUAUAAUAUUUAUAUUUAUAUAUAAAAAUAUUAAUAAAAAAAUUUUAAAUUAAAAAAAUUGAUAGUAUUUAAUUUAAUUUAGAGGAAUCUGUUUAAUAAUUGAUAUUCCACAAGAAUUUAUACUUAAUUUUUAAAAAUUUGUAUAUUGUUGUUAUAAAAAUUUUUUUAAUAAAUAAAUUUUUUAAAAUUUUUAAAAAAAAAUAUAUCAAAUCAAAAUGCAGUUUAUAAUUAAGAUUAAAAUGGAUUAUAACAAAUUUAUUUUUAGUAAAAAAAAUUAUAAUUUUUUUUAAUUUAAAUUUAAAUAUAAUUUAAUUAAUUUAAAUUAAAUGAAAAAUAUUUUUAAAUAUAUACAUAUUGCCCGUCACUUUCAUUAUAAUUGAAAUAAGUCGUAACAAAGUAGAGAUAUUGGAAAAUAUUUCUAGAAAUAA